rnacentral:rRNA from 1 species
GAUGAACGCUGGCGGCGUGCCUAAUACAUGCAAGUCGAGCGAACAGACGAGGAGCUUGCUCCUCUGACGUUAGCGGCGGACGGGUGAGUAACACGUGGAUAACCUACCUAUAAGACUGGGAUAACUUCGGGAAACCGGAGCUAAUACCGGAUAAUAUAUUGAACCGUAUUGUUCAAUAGUGAAAGACGGUUUUGCUGUCACUUAUAGAUGGAUCCGCGCCGCAUUAGCUAGUUGGUAAGGUAACGGCUUACCAAGGCAACGAUGCGUAGCCGACCUGAGAGGGUGAUCGGCCACACUGGAACUGAGACACGGUCCAGACUCCUACGGGAGGCAGCAGUAGGGAAUCUUCCGCAAUGGGCGAAAGCCUGACGGAGCAACGCCGCGUGAGUGAUGAAGGUCUUCGGAUCGUAAAACUCUGUUAUUAGGGAAGAACAAAUGUGUAAGUAACUAUGCACGUCUUGACGGUACCUAAUCAGAAAGCCACGGCUAACUACGUG